GACGAACGCUGGCGGCGUGCCUAAUACAUGCAAGUCGAGCGGACAGAAGGGAGCUUGCUCCCGGAAGUCAGCGGCGGACGGGUGAGUAACACGUGGGCAACCUGCCUGUAAGACUGGGAUAACUUCGGGAAACCGGAGCUAAUACCGGAUAGGUUCUUCCCUCGCAUGGGGGAAGAUGGAAAGACGGUUUCGGCUGUCACUUACAGAUGGGCCCGCGGCGCAUUAGCUAGUUGGUGGGGUAAUGGCCCACCAAGGCGACGAUGCGUAGCCGACCUGAGAGGGUGAUCGGCCACACGGGGACUGAGACACGGCCCAGACUCCUACGGGAGGCAGCAGUAGGGAAUCGUCCGCAAUGGACGAAAGUCUGACGGAGCAACGCCGCGUGAGCGAAGAAGGCCUUCGGGUCAUAAAGCUCUGUUGUCAGGGAAGAACAAGUGCCAGAGUAACUGCUGGCACCUUGACGGUACCUGACCAGAAAGCCACGGCUAACUACGUGCCAGCCGCCGCCGUAAGAC
rnacentral:rRNA from 1 species